rnacentral:rRNA from 1 species
GACAGAGGGUGCAAACGUUGUUCGGAACCACUGGGCGUAAAGGGCGCGUAGGCGGGACGCCAAGUCGGUCGUGAAAUCUCCGGGCUCAACCCGGAGGAGUCGGCCGAAACUGGUGUUCUUGAGGGAGGCAGAGGAGUCUGGAAUUCCCGGUGUAGCGGUGAAAUGUGUAGAGAUCGGGAGGAACACCGGUGGCGAAGGCGGGACUCUGGGCCUACCCUGACGCUGAGGCGCGAAGGCGUGGGGAGCGAACAGG